AGACUUUGAUUAUGGCUCAGGACGAACGCUGGCGGCGUGCUUAACACAUGCAAGUCGAACGGUCUACCUCGACAGAAACCUUCGGGUUGAAGACGAGAUCUAGAUAGUGGCGGACGGGUGAGUAACACGUGAAUAAUCUGUCCUCAAGUCUGGGAUAACCUGGCGAAAGUCGGGCUAAUCCGAGGUAAGCUGAGAGUGUGGCAUCACACAAUCAGAAAAGGUGGCUUUGCCAUCGUUUGAGGAGGAGUUCGCGGUAGAUUAGCUAGCUGGUGAGGUAAUGGCUCACCAGGGCAACAAUCUAUAGCUGGUCUGAGAGGACGAUCAGUCACACUGGAACUGAGACACGGUCCAGACUCCUACGGGAGGCAGCAGUGGGGAAUCUUCCACAAUGGGCGAAAGCCUGAUGGAGCAACGCCCGCGUGAGUGAAGAAGGUCUUAGGAUUGUAAAGCUCUGUCCUUAGGGAAGAACCGUGGGUAUAGUAAAUGCUACCCCACCUGACGGUACCUUUUGGGAGGAAAGCACUGGGCUAACUACCUUGCCAC
rnacentral:rRNA from 1 species